UCGCAGUUGAUCCGAACCACGGUUCGGCUCGCAUGUGAUUCGCGGAUUAAUAUAUACCAGUGUAUGGAAUGUCACAAUUAUAGAUUUGUGUGUAAACUUAAACAUGUCUUGAUGGACCCUAAUUUAUGCACUGUGCAGUUAUGCUGGUAGUUGGGUAAUGUCAUAAUGGUUAUUGGGUUGGGCUUGGACUAAAAAAGGGAAAUUGUAAUGGUUUAGUAUAAUAAGACAUUAUGUAUGGUUUUGUACAAUGCUAAUCUUUUUUUUCUUUUUUCCUCAGGUAAUCUUGCUUUUGCUGUUCUAAUAUAAACACUGCUCUUAGCACACCACCCAUACAUGGCACACAAAACAGGUCUUGUGAGGGGGCUGUGCCCACAGGUAGAAAUUCUGUAGGUCCACGGGCUUCUCCCCUUUCAGCGAACAUCACAGCGCUUAGUCCACCAUCGUGGUCUCCAAUCUCCAUUACCAACAGCCUGAGUGCUACACCUACAGACACCCCAACCCAUGCAGCAGCUGGCAGAAGUCAGACAUCAGGCCAAACUGGAUUUCAACACACCCCACCCUUACAUGGCACACAAGUAUAUGACACACAACACAGGUCUUCUCAGGAGGCUGUGCCUACAGCAAUAGGCUUUACGCCCAGCUGCACUACUUCCUGAACUUCAGCCAGCUCCUUGUUUCCUGUCUGCCAUUAUUGGACAAACUGAUUAAUCCAGGUGUGCCUGAGCUUAGUAGUCACAACAACAAUAAUCAGACACACCUGGAUUUAUCAGUUUGUCCAGUAAUGGCAGACAGGAAACAAGGAGCUUAAAGCCUAUUGCUAAGGAGAUCCUCAUCCAGCUCGAUUUUAUUAGAGAGCAGCAGUUGCAGACUUCAUCCCAGACCCAACACAUUUUGGGCUGCCACUUUCAACUAUUGAGGAGCUACAAUGUUUGUAGGAGACAUUAAAUAAUCCAGAUGAGAAGAAGAAUUUGGUGAGACUGUUUUUCCUGGAAUGGUCGGAGACAAGACUCUUAAAGACACCGUGGGGUGGGUCCUGAAAAAAACAAUGAACUCUUCGUGGUGAGACUCAUCAAUUGAAGUGGGGUCAACUGAACGCCUGCAUUCAAAGGGCUCACUUUGAAAAGUGUGGUUUUGGAUGCAGUCCGCCGGAAUGCCCUGACCAAAGAUAACACAGAAAAUGAGAUAGAGCUCCUCAUCACCAGGUGGUCGGUGCUAGCAUAUGACAGGGAUGGUGGCCAAAUCCAGACAAUAGACAGACAAUGAAUUAAAAUGUUUUAAAUUUAAAAAUGUUGAUUUUUGGAAAAUUCGUAUUUGAACUGAUUGUGUGUGUGUGUGCACCUGGUAAUUAUCACGUUGUGUCCCCACAAAGAUAGGAAUACCAGUAUUUUUGUGACCUUGUGUCCCCAUGAGGAAACAAGCUUAUAAAUCAAACAAAAUGAUGUUUCUUGUAAAUGUGAAGUAGGAGAAGGGUUUCUGUGAUGGUUGGGUUUAGGGAAUGGGGUAGGUAAGGGGAAUAAAAUAUACAGUUUGUAUGGUAUAAAAUGCAUUACGUCUAUGGAAUGUCCCCACAAAACAUGGAAACCUGUUUGUGUGUACGAGAGAGAGAGAAUGUGUGUUCAAGUGAAUAAAAAAUGCAUUAAACGUGAAA